rnacentral:rRNA from 1 species
UACGGGGGGGGGCAAGCGUUGUUCGGAAUUACUGGGCGUAAAGGGCUCGUAGGCGGCCAACUAAGUCAGACGUGAAAUCCCUCGGCUUAACCGGGGAACUGCGUCUGAUACUGGAUGGCUUGAGAUUGGGAGAGGGAUGCGGAAUUCCAGGUGUAGCGGUGAAAUGCGUAGAUAUCGGGAGGAACACCGAGUGGCGAAGGCGGACGAUCUGGGCUGAUACUGACGCUGAGGUGCGAAAGCGUGGGGAGCAAACAGG